rnacentral:rRNA from 1 species
CUACGAAGGGGGCUAGCGUUGUUCGGAAUUACUGGGCGUAAAGCGCGCGUAGGCGGACUGAUCAGUUGGGGGUGAAAUCCCAGGGCUUAACCCUGGAACUGCCUCCAAUACUGUCAGUCUUGAGUUCGGGAGAGGUGAGUGGAAUUCCUAGUGUAGAGGUGAAAUUCGUAGAUAUUAGGAAGAACACUAGUGGCGAAGGCGGCUCACUGGCCCGAUACUGACGCUGAGGCGCGAAAGCGUGGGGAGCAAACAGGAGUAGAAACCCUAGUAGUCC